AGCAGCCGCGGUAAUUCCAGCUCCAAUAGCGUAUAUUAAAGUUGUUGCGGUUAAAAAGCUCGUAGUUGAAUUUCGGGAUCAAUAUGUUGGUCGUGCCUUGGUACGUACUGGCAUUAUCGAUUCCUACCUUCUGAAGAACCUCGAUGUCAUUAAUUUGGUGUCUUGGGGAAUCAGGACUGUUACUUUGAAAAAAUUAGAGUGUUUAAAGCAGGCUCGCGCUUGAAUACAUUAGCAUGGAAUAAUGAAAUAGGACGUUUGAUUCUAUUUUGUUGGUUUCUAGGAUUGACGUAAUGAUUAAUAGGGAUAGUUGGGGGCAUUAGUAUUCAAUUGUCAGAGGUGAAAUUCUUGGAUUUAUUGAAGACUAACUACUGCGAAAGCAUUUGCCAAGGAUGUUUUCAUUAAUCAAGAACGAAAGUUAGGGGAUCGAAGACGAUCAGAUACCGUCGUAGUCUUAACCAUAAACUAUGCCGACUAGGGAUCGGAUGAUGUUAAUUUUAUAAUGACUCAUUCGGCGCC
rnacentral:rRNA from 1 species